rnacentral:rRNA from 1 species
UAAACCAGGAUUAGAUACCCUAUUAUACUCAGGUGAAAAUUCUUAAAGGAGUAGUUGCUAUAGUCUUGAAACCUAAAAGGUAUGGCGGUGUUUAGUUGAAUCAGAGGAACCUGCCCAGUAAGCGAUAACCCCCGGUGUAUCUUACCUUUUUGGGUUUGUAUACCGUCGUCUAAGCUAUAUCCAUAGAUUAAAAGCUAAGAGCAGGAAUUAGGAAUUCAGAUCCAGGCGCAGCUUUGAAAGGUUGAGGUGGGUUACAAUUAAAUUUUUAAUGGAUAGGGGAAUAAACUUCCUUAUGAAACCGGAUUGAAAGUAAUUCAAGUUAAUAAG